rnacentral:lncRNA from 1 species
UCUUCCGCUGAUUACAGCUACACAAAAUACUUAUCUGCUUUCGAAAGACCUAUAACCAAUAAUAUCGGUCUUACAAUUAGCACAAUUAUUCAUAACACGUAACACUGUAGUUCACAGUCAAACUUCUCCUAGGCACAUUACCACAUAGCCACAUCAGUGUUUAUAACCUAUAUAAACACAUAACAAGUCUAACUAUAUCAGUCUGGUUGGACUUCGGUCCAUUCUCGGUGUUCUGGUCACCCUAUCCGACAAUUAACACAUUGAUUGUCCAUUAAACUUGGUCUCUAAGCUUCAAUAUUAAUUUAGAUAAGUCAAUUAUCAAUUAUAAUAUUUUUCGGAAGCUUUUAAUAAUUAUCAAGCAAUUAUUAUAAUUUAUAAUAAUUUUUCAAACAUCGGAAUCAUUUUUAAAUGAUUUAAUUAUCAAAUAAUCUUAUCAUUAUUAAUAUUUAAUAAUAUUAAAAUAUUAAUAACAUACUUGUCAAAAUAUUAAAGUUAUUAUCAAUAACUUAAAAUAUUUUUAAAUCAACAAUAUUCCACUUAAAUGAUUUUUAAAGUAAUUAAAAUCAUUUUUAAAUCACCACCAUUAAUAUAUAAAUAUUAAUGAAAUUAUCAUCUAAAUAUUAAAAGUCAUUAAUUAUAACUUAAAAUAUUUUUAAACUAUUUUUCUCAUUGUUAAAUGAUUUUUAAAUCAAUAAAAUCAUUUUUAAUUCAUUUAUUUAAUAUCAUAAUUAAAUAAAUCAAAUAUCAUUAAUAUUAAUUUAUUAAUGAAAAUUCUCCAAAAAUAUUGAAAAUUAUAUUUUAUAAUUUAAAAUAUUUUCUAACACUUUAUUCUCAAUUAAAAUGAUUUUUAAAUCAUUUAAAUCAUUUUUAUCUUAUUUAUUUAAUUUAAUAAUCAAAUAAAUCUAAUAUCAUUAAUAUUAAAUUAUUAAUGAAAAUUCUCCAAAAAUAUUAAAAGUUACAUUUUAUAACUCAAAAUAUUUUUAAAUACAUUUUUCUUAUUUAAAAUGAUUUUUCAUAAUAUUAAAUCAUUUUUCUCUAAUUUAUUUAAUACACUAAUUAAAUAAAUUAAAUACCUUUAAUAUUUAAAUAAUUAUAAAUAUUAAAGAAAAAUAUUCCAAUUGGUCAGAAAUUAUUUUUCAUAAUUUAAAAUAAUUUUUAAAACCAUUUUUGGUAAUUUUUAGAAUUUAUUUCUAAUUUUUAUUAAUUUCCGGAAUAUUCAGAAAAUAAAAUAAAUUAAAACCGUCGCUAAUAGCCUAUAGCGACACAAAGCGUCGCUGUUGGUGUUCUUGAGCUCAAGAACACUGACAGCCGGCAGCUUCAAGGUGCUACUUUGACUGCCUUUAAUUCUCAGACAAAAUGGUUUCUGGACUUGUUUAAAGUUUGAUCGUGUAGCCAAAAUGUAACACUACAACAUGCAACUCACACUUAGAUCAAACAACAACACAACAAGAUGAUCUGGGCUGUUAAACAUCUUGUCAGACGGUUUCUGGGUUUUCCAGAAACCCAGACAGUGCGAGUAGGCACUUUCGUGCUCAAUUAUCUAUGAGUUCUGGUAAUUAUUUAUGCUAGUUUAUGGUUUAAAUCCCUGGUCCAUGUGUCAAGGAACAAUACCAUACCAACAAAUCAGCUAAAACAUAUUAACCUCGUCAGAUCCAGCUCGGUCAAACCCUGACAGAAUCCUUGUUCAUACCGAUUCUGGGUUUCCCAGAAACAUAAAAUCAGUUCGGGUGGUCUAGUUUGACCAUCUAUAAAAUCCAAUACAUUUGAUGUUUAUGGAAUAUAAAGGCAGGUUCUUGGACUCGAUAUUACAGUCUACAAUAUGCAUACAACAACAUCAACAAACAACAAUCAACCGGACAGAUAGGGACCUUCAAAGAUCUUGUCAGGUUCGGUUUUUCACUUUCUGGGUAACCCAGAUUUUUACUCGGUCAAGCCCGGUCAACGGGUUUUGACCGAUUAUAUCUUCUGAUCUAUAAUAGAUCUGGGUCUGAUUCUUUUUGCAACUUAAAGAACACAUAUCAGGCUACAUGUUACAAGUUUUAAACAUCGAAAACACUUAACACACACGGAUCUAUAAGAUCUGACAUUUGACUGAAAAACACAAUUUUCCAGAUUUCCAGAUUUUGAAAAACUCUAAAUUCGUGAACUUUGAUGUUAUGGGUUCAUGAUUUAUCAACCCAGAACUUCAAUUGACACCUUAUUACAUAUCUUUGAACAAUCAAUUACAACAUUUAACAAGGAAUUGAAGGAUUUCAAAAUUUAGGGUUUUGUACCUUUUAUGCUUGAUUUUCAAUUCUGACUUUUGAUUUCUGAUCUUGGGUGAUCUAAGGCUGUAUAGAUGACUGAUCUACUAUAAUAUUUCGGAGCUUUGAGAUAGAGAGAGAGAUGGUGAGAGCUAGAGUAAAAAUUAGCAACUUUUGGCCACUUUUCUCUCUCUAAAUCUUAUAUAUAAUGCUAAGUUGCUAGAUCUGAUC